rnacentral:rRNA from 1 species
CCUACGGGAGGCAGCAGUGGGGAAUUUUGGACAAUGGGCGAAAGCCUGAUCCAGCAAUGCCGCGUGUGGGAAGAAGGCCUUCGGGUUGUAAACCACUUUUGUACGGAACGAAACGGUUCGCUUUAAUACAGUGGGCUAAUGACGGUACCGUAAGAAUAAGCACCGGCUAACUACGUGCCAGCAGCCGCGGUAAUACGUAGGGUGCGAGCGUUAAUCGGAAUUACUGGGCGUAAAGCGUGCGCAGGCGGUUAUAUAAGACAGUUGUGAAAUCCCCGGGCUCAACCUGGGAAUUGCAUCUGUGACUGUAUAGCUAGAGUACGGUAGAGGGGGAUGGAAUUCCGCGUGUAGCAGUGAAAUGCGUAGAUAUGCGGAGGAACACCGAUGGCGAAGGCAAUCCCCUGGACCUGUACUGACGCUCAUGCACGAAAGCGUGGGGAGCAAACAGGAUUAGAUACCCUGGUAGUCCACGCCCUAAACGAUGUCAACCGGUUGUUGGGUGCAUUAGUACUCAGUAACGAAGCUAACGCGUGAAGUUGACCGCCGNGGAGGUACGGCCGCGAGUAGAACGUACGAAGAAGUAGACGCGNGAGACGUGCGAGACGACGACGAGGGAGAGG